CGCGGCCCCUUCCCGGGCCCUCGUCUGCCCGCCCCGCGGGGCGGCCCAGGGACCCCUUUGAGGCGGCCGUCCUGGGAACGCGUCGGGCCGACCCCCGCCCGGGAGGGCUCCAUGGCUGCGGCGCAAUAACUCAGGCCCAGCAUAUCACUUUUAACUUCAGAGCAGCCCCGUGAGAAGGGCAUGGCAACCCACUCCAGUCUUCUUGCCUGGAAAAUCCCACGGACAGAGGAGCCUGGCGGAGUCGCAAGGAGUCAGACACGACUGAAGCGAAUGAACGCACACAGUGUUGUCACAGUGAUAUCAUGGGGCAUGUUUUCCUACACUCUGUUUUAGAGAUAAGGCAACUGUGAUACAGAAAGGGAAAGUAACUUGCUUAAAGUCACACAGGCUGUCCAUGGAACCUCAGGGGUCAGAGCCAGGUAAACCUGAUGAGAUGAGUGUUCAUUGCCCUGACAUUUUAGAAUCCAUGCUGAUACUAGGGCUGUUAACUCUUCCUGGGACUCUUGCAUGGCAGUCUAAGGACUUGAGAUCCUCCUCCAGGGGUCCUGCCUGAGCCCCGCCCCAUCAUUCCAUCCUGCUCUGGUGUUGCCUGGAUCCCCAGGCCCACCCCCUGCCCCGCAGCAGGCUGUGGGAAGCCAAGGCCCCAGGA